ACUUAGUUCCUUACUAUCUACCAAACAACUUGUUUGCAUUAGGUAGAAAGUAACAAGCUGAAAUGUUGAUCUAUAUGAAACGUUAUUUUAGUACACGGAACUGAAACAAGAAUUGCCAAAAUCUGAUCAAUAUAUAUCUUACCUGCAAAUAAACAACAAUUGACCUCACUUUUUUCCUCUGAUCUCAACACAAAUCUCUAAAAAUAUCUGGAAAUACAUGUAUAAAAUCCAAGCUCUCCAUCAUCCAGCAACCUAAGCUGGAUUCUGAAAACAAAUAAUCAUAUCACCAGCCAUAUAGAAUUACCCGUCUGGCUUCAAACUUGUCCCUGUAUUUAUAACAGUAUGUAUAGCUGAAUAUUAAGGGAAAGAUUUAUAUACUUUACAACAUUCAUCAAAUCUCCCAACAUCAUCUUCAACUGCCCAUAUCCACGUAUUCCUUCCAUUCGUUUUCGUCCUUGACCCUCUUCAACACUCCUUCGAUUGCAAUUUCAAAUGCAUCCUUGACACUCCCAAGACCUCCACUUGGCCUUGCAUACACUAUUCUUGGAAUUGUCUCUACAACUUUUUCCCUCAUUUUCCUCACUUGAUCUUUACUGUAACUCAUCAAAAUUUCCUUAAUGGAAGCUGUCCCAUUUCUCACUGCUUCCGGGUCUAUAAACACAGAAUAACUCCCCGGGUCUUCCGGCAAAAACCACUGGUACUGAGUGUAAGCCGUUCGCCUCCAGAAGAAAACCGGUACUGAACCAGCCACCAUGCAAUCAAAAACUGACCGCCGAGUCAAGCUGUCCCCUUUGGGCUGUAAACAGAAGUCUGAGCUCAGAAGUGCUUUUUGGAUUUCUGAUGAACCGUUAGAGCAGGGAAUCACGGCACAGUCCACAACUCGGCACGAGUCUGACUCGUUCCUACAGUAACUCAUUAACCUCGAUCUGAAAUCACUAUCGAUAUCCCCACGCGCCGCCCCUAUGAAGGUGAAUAGACUGGUGCGGUUAUAUGAAAGUGCAAACUUUUGCCAUUCUCGGAGUUCUUUCUCGGAAUGAGGGUGGAAUCCGGUAGGGUAAGGUACACUGAUAUCGUUUGCAUCCCAUGGAGCCUUCUCGAUUGUGAAUCGCGUAACAUUCUGCAUCUGCGGUCGAUUUAGAAAAGAGGAUCCCCAGAGUUUUUCUGGGUCACCUAAUCGCCGGAAAUCCCACGUUAUCCGACCAAGUGUGAGGAAAUGGUCCAAACCCUUAUAUUUUUUCCAAUACUUUUGCCUUUGAACCCAUUUCAGUAAUUUGUUGCUAAGAAAAUCUCGAUUUUCAAUUUCAUCAGUCCAAAGGUAUUUCCCAACAGCCUGUCCGGCGUAGAACGGAAUGUAGAAAGCCGUAGCAGAUUCUGGGUCGUUGGUUCUACAUCUAUAGUUUAAAAGCCGGUAAUGAAAUAUUACCUCUGAUGAGAACUGAUUUGUACGAUACCACGCUGCGGAGAGAUUCCCCGGCAAGAUUCCGGCGAGCUCCGUCGAUCUCUUUCCAUAUCCAUCAUUGGUCACAAGACCACACUGCCACUUCCAUGGGUCUAGAUCGUCACAGGUCAACAAAGCUAAAUCUUUGUUAAAUUUGGAUGGUAAAUUAUAGACAUAGACCCGACCAUACUCGCAUUCAGAAUCGCCGAAGGGAUAAAUUACAUUUGCAUCGUGAUGGGCUGUCUGUAAAUCGGGAAAUACAUCGAUUUCUGAAGGGAAUUGGGGGAGAGGACUGGGUGGGGAAUGAACUGAGAAAGGGAAAGGGGAAUUGCGAGUAAAGAUAAGCACCACAAGUUGAAAAAAAAGGAAGAAGGUAAAAAGCCAGAAACGAGGAUGAGUAGAAAUCUGAUACUGAAAAUUACUCACAGCAUUCUUUAGAAAAUCAUUGUUGUUAGUUUUUAGAGGUUUGCGCAUAGCUUCAUCGGCGCCCGGCGACUCGUCGGAGUAAGGUGACAGCAUCUGAUGAAAACUGGACUUGAAAAAAUUGCAGAGAAGAAGAAAUGCCCUAAAAAGUAGAGAACAGAGUAUUAUUAAGUAUAGAAAAUUCUUGUUUAGCAGAGUG
rnacentral:misc_RNA from 1 species